AAAAGGAAAGGAAAAAUCUUAAAAGAUUCGUGGCACAAGUUCGGCAUCUAAGAUUCGAUUCCAAGUAGGAGCACAUCUCGAGGAGCAGUUUGAGUCCGAGUUUGGAGUGUCUUGGAGUUGUGGUGAGCUGCUUGGCUGUUCCGUGGCCCACACCUCCCUCUAUAUUUUUUAUUUAUUCUGUUAUUCAGUAUUCAGACAGGAUAUCCCUUAUGUUAGAUUUGCCUUUUUAGUUUCAGACUUGCAUCGUAUUUUAGAAGCUCUUGUACUCAUGACACCAUUUCUUGGGUAGUAUUUUUUUUCAGUUUUCCGCAUUCGUACUUAUAAGAACUCAGUGUUGGAGAUUUGGAAA